AUUGAACGCUGGCGGCAGGCUUAACACAUGCAAGUCGAGCGAGCGGCGGACGGGUGAGUAAUGUCUGGGAAACUGCCUGAUGGAGGGGGAUAACUACUGGAAACGGUAGCUAAUACCGCAUACCAUCAGAUGUGCCCAGAUGGGAUUAGCUAGUCGGGGGGGUAAUGGCUCACCUAGACGACGAUCCCUAGCUGGUCUGAGAGGAUGACCAGCCACACGGGAACUGAGACCCGGUCCAGACUCCUACGUGGGGCAGCAGUGGGGAAUAUUGAACAAUGGGCGCAAGCCUGAUGCAGCCAUGCCGCGUGUAUGAAGAAGGCCUUCGUGUUGUAAAGUACUUUCAGCGGGGAGGCGUUACCCGCAGAAGAAGCACCGGCUAACUCCGUGCCAGCCGCCGCGGUAAUC
rnacentral:rRNA from 1 species